GGCGUUUGAGGAAGAGGCGCGCACCUUAUUCGCUCAGUCGAGUCCUGUCUCUUGUACAUGCAUGGUGAAGUCUUGCCAAGCCAUACCUGCGCUGCAGAAACCCGCCCAACUUCUGAAUAACGGCGACAAGAAAAGAUGACCUCCAGUCGUCCAGGCAAAUGCAAAAUAUGUGGUUAAUAGCUUAAUGUGGAAGAGCAUCAGACAAUACUAGUUACAAAAUAAUAAUUACGAUACUUAUUUAGGGUUAUGUCAAUGCAAUUUACUAUUAUUUGAACCAUUUGUUCCAGAAAGAAAAGGGUACAUUCUAAAGGACAAUGUUACUCACUAAAACGUCAUCGUUGAAAUGGAUACGCGCGUUAUUUGCUAUGUGGCUGCAUCUGACUGUGUGGGAAACGAUGGAGGCUAUCCAUCCAGACUGUGCCCUGGUCUCUCAUCACAUGAAGUCCCAGGAGAGCUGUAUCCACACACGCAGACAGGAAGGCCGGAACCGCUCUGCCAGGACAGGGUGUCGUACAGAGUGGGAUGAGAUCAGAUGCUGGUCACGGGCUGAGGUGGGCCAGAUUGUCAACGUCUCCUGCUCAGACGUCUCCCAGCUCUUCGCCAACAAAGGCUACAUCUUCAGGAACUGUACGAAGGCUGGCUGGACAGAGCUGUACCCUACAUAUGAGGAGGCCUGUGAGUUCGCAGAUGAGUCAGAGACAGGAUCAGAGACAACAUACUUCUACACCAUCAGUCAGGUGUACACCGCUGGAUAUGCCACCUCCCUCGUCUCCCUCAUAUCAGCCAUCUUUGUCUUCACUGUGUUCAGGAAGUUCCACUGUACCAGGAACUACAUCCACAUCAACCUAUUUUCCUCAUUCAUCCUGAGAGCCAGUGCCGUUUUCAUCAAGGACGGAGUUCUGUUCGCUGAUGAGAACCUGGACCACUGCUUCAUGUCCACAAUGGCGUGUAAGUCAGCGGUGGCCUUCUUCCAGUUUAGCAUCCUGGCUAACUACUUCUGGCUGCUGGUGGAGGGCAUGUACCUCCAGACCCUCCUGGCCCUCACCUUCGUCUCACACAAGAAGUACUUCUGGUGGUACACACUCAUCGGCUGGGGUCUCCCAACUACAAUACUGUUGGUGUGGGUUCUGACACGCAACUUCUAUGAUAACCGAGGUUGCUGGGACGACACUGAUGUGGCCUUCAUCUGGUGGAUCAUCAAAGGGCCAAUAACAGCAUCAUUACUGGUCAACUUCAUCAUCUUCAUCAAUGUGAUCCGUAUUCUGGUACAGAAGCUCAAAUCUCCUGGCGUGGGGGGCCACGACACUGGCCACUUCAUGAGGCUGGCUAAAUCCACUCUGUUCCUGAUCCCUCUGUUUGGGAUGCACUACAUGGUGUUUGCCUUCCUACCAGAGAACACAGGAGAGGAGGCCCGUAUCUUCAUAGAGCUGGGCCUGGGAUCCUUUCAGGGCUUUGUGGUGGCUCUGCUCUACUGUUUCCUAAAUGGAGAAGUGCAGGCAGAGCUGAAGAAGCAUCUAUGGAAGUGGCAGAUCCAGGGUUAUCUGCGCUACAGUAGGAGAAGACGUACCCUCUUCACAGAGAGCUCCACUGUCACACAGAUCUCUGUUCUGGAGAAGUCCUCCCCCAAGGAGUUGCCCUGCAUCAGCGACACACACACACUCACACACAUCGACAAACACACACUCACACACACUUCUGUCCCGAGCUGUACUGACACACAAACACUCACACACACUGACACACAAACACUCACACACAGCUCUGUCUCAAUCUGUGACGACACAAACACUCUCACACACAACACCGACUCACUCACACACAACUCAACAGUCUGAGAGAACAAAAAAUCCCGCUAUCUCUCUCUAUUCCCAAUCCUCCCUCUUCUUUUCUUCCUCCCCUCUCUCAAGGAUGGACUACACCUUGACUCUGCGGUGCCCAAAUCUCAGAUAGACCUCUCAGUCUAGAGAGAUCUAAAUGUUGUUCCAUAGACUGAGCUGUCUGUUGUGUUGACUCACUGGCUUGGCUGUGUGGCUCCAUAGACUGAGCUGUCUGUUGUGUUGACUCACUGGCUUGGCUGUGUGGCUCCAUAGGCUGUGUGGCUCCAUAGACUGAGCUGUCUGUUGUGUUGACUCACUGGCUUGGCUGUGUGGUUCCAUAGACUGAGCUGUCUGUUGUGUUGACUCACUGGCUUGGCUGUGUGGCUCCAUAGGCUGUGUGGCUCCAUAGACUGAGCUGUCUGUUGUGUUGACUCACUGGCUUGGCUGUGUGGCUCCAUAGACUGAGCUGUCUGUUGUGUUGACUCACUGGCUUGGCUGUGUGGUUCCAUAGACUGAGCUGUCUGUUGUGUUGACUCACUGGCUUGGCUGUGUGGCUCCAUAGACUGAGGAAGAGUAAUACAAAAAAAAGCUAAUUAUCGCAAUGGCCACAGAUUGACCAGAUUCCCAAAUGAAGCAAACUUUAUAGUGUCUACAAUAUACUGUAUCUUCCAUAGUACAAGUAAAUACACAGCCUUGUCUGUCAGGGCUUUCUAAAUGGACUGUGCUGUGUUUGGGUGGGUUGCUGCUAUUUUUGCCAGACAUGGACUUGCUGGCUGUGUGGUCUGGACACUAGACACUAGUGGACUCUAGUGGAUGCUAGUGGACUCCAGUGGACUGCGCUUGUGUCCAUAGUAGAAAUGGACUGGCCCCGGUGUGUUAGAAAUGCAGAGUAGUGAUAAAUUGAACAUAUUGAUUGAGAGGAAGAGGUUCAACUGACCUCUCUCCCCUCAUCAAUCUGAAGGAAGAGGUUCAACUGACCUCACUCCCCUAAUCAACCUGAAAGAAGAGGUUCAACUGAUCUCUCUCAUCAACCUGAAGGAAGAGGUUCAACUGACCUCUCUCCCCUAAUCAAUCUGAAGGAAGAGGUUCAACUGACCUCUCUCCCCUAAUCAACCUGAAAGAAGAGGUUCAACUGAUCUCUCUCAUCAACCUGAAGGAAGAGGUUCAACUGACCUCUCUCCCCUAAUCUACCUGAAGGAAGAGGUUCAACUGACCUCUCUCCCCUAAUCAACCUGAAGGAAGAGGUUCAACUGACCUCUCUCCCCUAAUCAACCUGAAAGAAGAGGUUCAACUGAUCUCUCUCAUCAACCUGAAGGAAGAGGUUCAACUGACCUCUAUCCCCUCAUCAACCUGAAGGAAGAGGUUCAACUGACCUCUAUCCCCUCAUCAACCUGAAGGAAGAGGUUCAACUGACCUCUAUCCCCUCAUCAUCCUGAAGGAAGAGGUUCAACUGACCUCUAUCCCCUCAUCAACCUGAAGGAAGAGGUUCAACUGACCUCUAUCCCCUCAUCAACCUGAAGGAAGAGGUUCAACUGACCUCUAUCCCCUCAUCAACCUGAAGGAAGAGGUUCAACUGACCUCUAUCCCCUCAUCAUCCUGAAGGAAGAGGUUCAACUGACCUCUAUCCCCUCAUCAUCCUGAAGGAAGAGGUUCAACUGAUCUCUCUCCCCUCAUCAACCUGAAGAGUACAGAGAAUAACAACCAUUUCUACCUUAUGGAUUGUAAAUGCAACAUGUUGCACAGUGCACAAGCAUGUAUGGAGCACUACACUGUAAAGAUGAUUAUUUAUGUAGACCUUGUUUUUUGUUGUUAUUAAUUUUCUUAAAGUCAGUUGAGCUGACAGCCGUUUUGUACUGUUUCGCUAUGGCUUUAGUCAUCCAUCUAGCAAGAGGGCAAUAUUUUAAUGGUGUAGUGUUGUUUCCCCCCAGAAAGCUAUGACCUUUGGCUUUCACCUGGAAUUGUUAUCUAUGUCUGAGGAAAAAAAAAACUUUUCAACCCAUAUGAUCUAGUACACAGUAAAGGUAUACUAAAACAAAUACAACAAUUAUAAAUGAUAAAAUAACAUACAGUUGGGAAUGAAUAAGCCUUUUCAUACUUUAUAAUAUGUCCAUAUAUAGUUAUAAUCUGUUUUCGGAACAUCUACCCAAAAUAUUUCACAUUCUUUAUUACUCUACCAAACAUACAGUUCCUUCAGAAAGUACUUUCUCCACAUGUUGCUACAUUACAGCCUAGUUCUAACAUGGAUGAAAUUAAACUAAAUCCUCAGCGAUCAAUACACAAUACCCUUUAAUGACAGAGCAAAACAGCUUUAGACAUUUAGCAAAUGUAUAAAAAUGUUUUAACAGAAAUACCUGAUUUACAUAGGUAUCCAGACCCUUUGCUAAGAGAUUUGAAAUUGAGCUCAGGUGCAUCCUGUUUCCAUUGACCAUCCUUGAGAUGUUUCUACAACUGGAUUUGAGUCCACCUGUGGUAAAUUCAAUUCAUUGGCAUGAUUCUGUAGCUCAGUUGGUAGAGCAUGGCGCUUGUAAUGCCAGGGUAGUGGGUUCGAUUCCCGGGACCACCCAUACGUAGAAUGUAUGCACACAUGACUGACUGUAAGUCGCUUUGGAUAAAAGCGUCUGCUAAAUGGCAUAUAUAUGUAUAUUUAUUUAUAUAUAUAUUUAUAUAUAUAUUUGGAAAGGCACACACCUAUCUAUAUAAGGUCCCACAGUUGACAGUGCAUGUCAGAGCAAAAACCAAGCCAUGAGGUCGAAGGAAUUGUCCGCAGAGCGCAGAGAUAGGAUUGUGUCAAGGCACAGAUAUGGGGAAGGGUGCCAAAAAAAGUCUGCAGCAUUGAUGGUCCCCAAGAACUCAGUGAAGUUUGGAAUUGCCAAGACUCUUCUUAGAGCAGGCCACCAGACCAAACUGAGAAGGUCCUUGGUCAGGGAGGUGACCAAGAACCACAUGGUCACUCUGACAGAGCUCUAGAGGUCCUCUGUGGAGAUGGGAGAACCUUCCAGAAGGACAACUAUGUCUGCAGCACUCCACCAUUCAGACCUUUAUGGUAGAGUGGCCAAACGGAAGCCACUCCUCAGUAAAAGGCACAUGACAGCCCACUUGGAGUUUUCCAAAAGGCACGUAAAGACUCAGACCAUGAGAAACAAAAUUCUCUGCUCUGAUGAAACCAAGAUUGAACACUGACCUGAAUGUCAAGCGUCACGUCUGGAGGAAACCUGGCACCAGCCCUAUGGUGAAGGAUGGUGAUGGCAGAAUUAUGCUGUGAGGAUGUUUUUCAGUGGCAGGGACUGGGAGACUAGUCAGGAUCAAGGCAAAGAUGAACGGAGCAAAGUACAGAGAGAUCCUUGAUGAAAAUCUGCUACAGCGCUCUCAGGACCUCAGACUAUGGAGAAAGUUGGCCAAACAUGACAACAACACUAAGCACACAGCCAAGACAAGGCAGGAGUGGCAUUGGAACAAGUCUCUGAAUGUCCUUGAGUGGCCCAGCUAGUGCCCGGACUUAAACCUUAUUGAACCUGUGCAGCAACGCUCCCCAUCCAACCGGACAUAUCAAGAGAGGAUCUGCAGAGAAGAAUGGGAGAAACUCCCCAAAUACAGGUGUGCCAAGCUUGUAGCGUCAUACCCAAGAAGACUUGCGGCUGUAAUCGCUGCCAAAGGUACUUCAAUAAAGUACUGAGAAAUGGUCUGAAUACUUAUAUAAAUGUAAUAUUUCAGUUUAUUUUUUAUAAAUUAGUAAAAACGUCUAGAAACCUGUUCAUGCUUUGUCAAUAUAGGGAGGGUAUUGUGUGUAGAUUUAUGAGGGAAAAAAAAUAUUGAAUCAAUUUUAGAGUAAGGCUCUAAUGUAACAAAAUAUGGAAAAAGUCAAGGGGUCUGAAUACUUUUCCGAAGGCACUGUAUCAUGACAUUAAUGAUAGUCAAAAUCUGUUACAUUUGUGAACGUCUCAAUCAACAUUUGGGCCAUUUAAACAGCAUGCUUCCCUCUUAUAGACAAGGGGAGAAGGGCUAUGUAAAGGCAUUGAUUAUGUCGCUCUGACCAUAUGCAAUGUGUCUGCCUCCAAAGUAAAACAAAUGUUUGACUUCCACACAAAAUUACUUCUUUACUUAUUUUAGGUUUAAGGAAGUGUGUAGAUUGCGUUCUUUAUCGUAGAGCUCUGUUGUAUUUAGAUCUGCCUGCUCGAGACAAAUUCAGCGAUUGCUUUGCCAUGUCUGUGCUGUGAAGCAGUCGAGCUGGAUAAAUGUUUUUCUAAGUACCGCCCCUUUGAUGUCACAUUGCAGUGAAGUGAUAUAAAUCGAUGUAAUGAUGAAACUGACCAGCAGAGGGAGGCAAAUACAAGUUUAUUCGACAGAGGAAGGUCUGCAUUGCUGUCUUCUGACAAAACAGUGGGAAGUCAAUAAAAUAAGUAAGGUAUACAUUUACAUAUUUUAAAAAGUAAUUCUAGUGCACCAUUUCAGGGACUGUCAGUUUAAGAGGUUUUAAUGUAGAAGUGUACAUAAACAUGAAUGAAUGAGAUUAUAGAUUGUUGAUAAGAGAUUAUAGAUGAUAGCGAUAUAGAGAUGUAUAGAUUAUAGAGAUAAUAGAAAUGAUAGAGAUGGUAGAUUAUAUAGAUUAGAUUAUAGAGAUGAUCGAUUAUAGAGAUUAUAGACAGUAUGUUUUCAUAUAUUAUAAUAGAAAUGAUAGAGAUGAUAGAUUAUCGAUAGUCUAGAUUGUUUUUUCUUUUGAAACUUUAUACUCCCGUUUUCUUGGACAUUGCAUUUAUUUAGAGAUUUUAUUAACACCAAAGUCAGCGUAUUUAUGUCAAAACUGUUUCAAAGUGUUCUAUAUUUCUGAGCAAUCUGUACAACAUAUACCCAUUACACAUCUUACUUAUUUAAUUUUGAACAUGUUAAUAUUUUGUAUCAUAUACACAUAUAUGUAGGUACUAUGUUUAUUUAGUUGUAUAAUAAAAUUAGUAAAUUAAUAAAAUAUAAUACAACUUGCAUUUCAAUAGAAUUAUAUAAUUUGUAUAUCAAUUUAUUGACAAAUUGCAAAAAUGUGUUGUUACAUACUUCUUGUACCAACAAUACUUUUUAGGGAAAGGACAUUUUCAAGAGGUUGCAACUGUACAUUAUGAGUAUGUUUUCAGAUAUUUGUAUUGUGUAGUUGGGAAAAUGGACAGGUUUUGGAUUAUCUUGUCUGUUUAUUUCUUGGUGUCAAUAGUUGCAUCUCUCCACAAGGGAGCACUGUAGAAUCAUAUUUUAUGGGGGCCAUUUUAGUACCUUUCCAGAAGAUAAACAAAUCAGACGUAAAUGGGUACUGUACAUGGUUGAAGUAUUCAGUGUAUAUAUACAUGAAACACUAUAUUAAAAAGCUAUUCAUGCUUUGGAGCUUGUGACCUCCUAUGUGAAUCUGUGAUUGUGGGAAAAGGAGGUUAUGGCUCAGACAAUGACCUUUGGUACCUUUACCAUGUACUACUGGUCUGUGUUGCUCAUAUAUGCAUCUGACAUGUAAGGCAAUCAUCCCGUGUAUUCAUAUCAUGAAUUAUAUCAAUUCUAAUAUGUCAUUUUUUUGUGGAAUAUGAUAAGCAUACUAUCCUAAGAUAUCCUGCACUUUGAUUAAAUUGAUAUAAAAAAAGCUGUAUACUCUAUUAUAACAUGGGCAGCAUAAUAUAAUAGUGUGCAUGCAUCUUUGUUGGGUUCAAAUUGUGACAAGAACAUGGAACUGAUCUGAACUGAACAAGACUUUUAUUGACUGUGAGACUAAGCUACUGAAAGGAUCAAUGGAUGCAGCACUUUGACUUGUAAACUGCUUUUGUGGUAUUGUGGAGUUGAGAUGGUGUAAUAUUCACAUCUGUGUGCGAAUUGUGUUCUCUCUCUUCUGAAGCUGUAAAAAACUGAAAGCUCUUUCCCCCCUAACAGGUUCCUGGCUACAACAUUACUGAACAUUUCUGAUGUGAUGCUGUUUAUUUAGAGGGCUAGCCUGGUGCCUGAUCUGUUUGUGCUGUU